AUGCUGACGCUGCAGGCGCGGAUGAAGCUGAUGAUGAUGAUGAUGCUGGACCAGACGAGGAAGAGGACACGGAGGCUGGACCAGACGAGGAAGAGGACACGGAGGCUGGACCAGACGAGGAUGGGGACACGGAGGCUGGACCAGACGAGGAUGGGGACACGGAGGCUGGACCAGACGAGGAUGGGGACACGGAGGCUGGACCAGACGAGGAUGGGGACACGGAGGCUGGACCAGACGAGGAUGGGGACACGGAAGCUGCAGCUGGCGUGGAUGAUGAGGCUGCAGCUGGCGUGGAUGAUGAGGCUGCAGCUGGCGUGGAUGAUGAGGCUGCAGCUGGCGUGGAUGAUGAGGCUGCAGCUGGCGUGGAUGAUGAGGCUGCAGCUGGCGUGGAUGAUGAGGCUGCAGCUGGCGUGGAUGAUGAGGCUGCAGCUGGCGUGGAUGAUGAGGCUGCAGCUGGCGUGGAUGAUGAGGCUGCAGCUGGCGUGGAUGAUGAGGCUGCAGCUGGCGUGGAUGAUGAGGCUGCAGCUGGCGUGGAUGAUGAGGCUGCAGCUGGCGUGGAUGAUGAGGCUGCAGCUGGCGUGGAUGAUGAGGCUGCAGCUGGCGUGGAUGAUGAGGCUGCAGCUGGCGACGGCGUGGAAGCCGGAGACGGAGGCGCUGCAGCAGGCGAGGAUGGUGAGGCUGCAGCUGGCGGCGGCGUGGAAGCCGGAGACGCUGCAGGCGGCGACGACGUGGAAGCCGGAGACGCUGCAGGCGGCGACGGCGUGGAAGCCGGAGGCGGUGAGGCUGCAGCUGGCGGCGGCGUGGAAGCCGGAGGCGGUGAGGCUGCAGCUGGCGGCGGCGUGGAAGCCGGAGGCGGAGGCGCUGCAGCUGGCGUGGAAGCCGGAGGCGGAGGCGCUGCAGCUGGCGUGGAAGCCGGAGACGGAAGCGCUGCAGCUGGCGUGGAAGCCGGAGACGGAGGCGCUGCAGCUGGCGGCGGCGUGGACGCCGGAGACGGAGGCGCUGCAGCUGGCGGCGGCGUGGAAGCCGGAGACGGAGGCGCUGCAGGCUGGACGGAUCCCUUGGACCCUCCAGCGACGACAGGAAGCAAAGGCCGGACGGAUCCCUUGGACCCUCCAGCGACGACAGGAAGCGAAGGCCGGAGCGGUCCCUCGGACCCUCCAGCGGAGACACGAAACGAAGGCCGGAGCGGUCCCUCGGACCCUUCAGCGGAGACACGAAACGAAGGCCGGAGCGGUCCCUCGGACCCUCCAGCGGAGACUAGAGACGAAGGCCGGAGCGGUCCCUCGGACCCUCCAGCAGAAGCCAUGACCAAGCCAGCAGUCAUGGAGGCCACUAGCUGACACAGUGGCGACUGACAAUGCACUGAGCACUGGCUCCGCCCAGGCAACGCUGACAUGAGGUGGUACUCAGGGGGCUGCUUAAACUGCAGGGGUCCAGAAUUAGCUGGGGCCUGACACCUAGCCUCUGGGGAAGCCCUGGAGUGGCAAACUGUACCAACGGCGGCUAAACCCUGAAAAGUACACUGAGAAGACGUAAGACUUCCUCCCUGCGUGGAGUGAACGGGUGAACCUGGUGGCCCUGGGGCCUGGACUACAGGCGGCACUGGAGACUGGACUACAGGUGACACUGGAGGCACUGGAGACUGGACUACAGGUGACACUGGAGGCACUGGAGACUGGACUACAGGUGACACUGGAGGCACUGGAGACUGGACUACAGGUGACACUGGAGACUGGACUACAGGUGACACUGGAGACUGGACUACAGGUGACACUGGAGACUGGACUACAGGUGACACUGGAGACUGGACUACAGGUGACACUGGAGACUGGACUACAGGUGACACUGGAGGCACUGGAGACUGAACUACAGGUGACACUGGAGGCACUGGGGACUGAACUACAGGUGACACUGGAGGCACUGGGGACUGAACUACAGGUGACACUGGAGGCACUGGGGACUGAACUACAGGUGACACUGGAGGCACUGGGGACUGAACUACAGGUGACACUGGAGGCACUGGGGACUGAACUACAGGUGACACUGGAGGCACUGGAGACUGGACUACAGGUGACACUGGAGGCACUGGAGACUGAACUACAGGUGACACUGGAGGCACUGGGGACUGAACUACAGGUGACACUGGAGGCACUGGGGACUGAACUACAGGUGACACUGGAGGCACUGGGGACUGAACUACAGGUGACACUGGAGGCACUGGGGACUGAACUACAGG
rnacentral:lncRNA from 1 species